GGAGGGAAGCUUGCUUUCCUUGCCGGCGACCGGUGCACGGGUGAGUAACACGUAUGCAACCUGCCCUCUUCAGGGGGACAACCUUCCGAAAGGGAGGCUAAUCCCGCGUAUAUCGGUUUCGGGCAUCCGUUAUCGAGGAAAGAUUCAUCGGAAGAGGAUGGGCAUGCGGCGCAUUAGCUUGACGGCGGGGUAACGGCCCACCGUGGCGACGAUGCGUAGGGGUUCUGAGAGGAAGGUCCCCCACACUGGUACUGAGACACGGACCAGACUCCUACGGGAGGCAGCAGUGAGGAAUAUUGGUCAAUGGGAGAGAUCCUGAACCAGCCAAGCCGCGUGAGGGAAGACGGCCCUAUGGGUUGUAAACCUCUUUUGUCGGAGAACAAAACCCGGGACGUGUCCCGGACUGCGUGUAUCCGAAGAAAAAGCAUCGGCUAACUCCGUGCCAGCAGCCGCGGUAAUACGGAGGAUGCGAGCGUUAUCCGGAUUUAUUGGGUUUAAAGGGUGCGUAGGCGGUCCGUUAAGUCAGCGGUAAAAUUGCGGGGCUCAACCCCGUCGAGCCGUUGAAACUGGCAGACUUGAGUUGGCGAGAAGUACGCGGAAUGCGCGGUGUAGCGGUGAAAUGCAUAGAUAUCGCGCAGAACUCCGAUUGCGAAGGCAGCGUACCGGCCCCAGACUGACGCUGAGGCACGAAAGCGUGGGGAUCGAACAGGAUUAGAUACCCUGGUAGUCCACGCAGUAAACGAUGAAUGCUGGUUGUCCGGGACGAAUGAGACCUGGGCGGCGAAGCGAAAGCGAUAAGCAUUCCACCUGGGGAGUACGCCGGCAACGGUGAAACUCAA
rnacentral:rRNA from 1 species